GUCUUUUGUUUAUUAUAAAAGGUCUGGCCUGCUCAAUGAUUUUUAAAUGGCUGCAGUAUUUUGACUGUACAAAGGUAGCAUAAUAAUUUGUCCUUUAAUUGAGGUCUGGAAUGAAUGGUUUCAUGAAAAAUAAACUUUUUUAAUUUAAUAUUAAAAAUUUAAUUUUUAAGUUAAAAAGCUUAAAUUUUUUUAUAGGACGAGAAGACCCUAUAGAGCUUUAUUUUUAUAUUCUGAGUUUUUUUGGUUUAUUAAUUGAUUGUAGAUGAUUAAAAAUUUUGUUGGGGUGACAAAAAAAAUUUUAUAACUUUUUUUAUUUUUUACAUUUAUAUAUGUGUUUUUGAUCCUUAUUUUGGAAAAAAGAAUAAGCUACCUUAGGGAUAACAGCGUUAUUAUUUUGGAGAGUUCAUAUCGAUAAAAUAGUUUGCGACCUCGAUGUUGGAUUAAAAUAAGAUGUGGGAGUAGAAUAUCAUAUUCUUGGUCUGUUCGACCUUUAAAUUUUUACAU
rnacentral:rRNA from 1 species